rnacentral:tRNA from 1 species
GCCUGGCUGGCUCAGUUGGAGAGCAUGUGACUCUUGAUCUCGGGGUUACGAGUUCAAGCCUCAUGUUGGGCA